rnacentral:rRNA from 1 species
UGAGGAAUAUUGGUCAAUGGGCGCAAGCCUGAACCAGCCAUCCCGCGUGCAGGAAGACGGCGCUAUGCGUUGUAAACUGCUUUUCCAGGGAGAGAAACUUGCGCACGUGUUGCGCAAUUGACGGUACCCUGGGAAUAAGCAUCGGCUAACUCCGUGCCAGCAGCCGCGGUAAUACGGAGGAUGCGAGCGUUAUCCGGAUUCAUCGGGUUUAAAGGGUGCGUAGGCGGACUAUUAAGUCAGUGGUGAAAUCCUGCAGCUUAACUGCAGAACUGCCAUUGAUACUGAUAGCCUUGAGUUUGGUUAAGGUAGGCGGAAUGUGUAAUGUAGCGGUGAAAUGCUUAGAUAUUACACAGAACACCAAUUGCGUAGGCAGCUUACUAAGCCGACACUGACGCUGAGGCACGAAAGCGUGGGG